rnacentral:sRNA from 1 species
CUGGAGUGAGGAAGAACUUGGACCCUGGAGGCCAAGUGUGACCCCAUCACAGAGCUCCUGUGGGAGGGCCACGGCCCUGCCCACUGCUGCUUUGGUCCAGGAACAUUGAUGCUUCUCGUCUCUCCUCUCUCCCCUAGGCCUGCAGGACAAGCUGAACAAGAGGGACAAAGAGGUGACAGCCUUGACCUCCCAGACCGAGAUGCUCAGGGCCCAAGUAAGUGCGCUGGAGAGCAAGUGUAAGUCGGGCGAGAAGAAGAUGGACGCCCUCCUGAAGGAGAAGCGGCGCCUGGAGGCCGAGCUGGAGACCGUGUCCCGGAAGACCCACGAUGCCUCGGGCCAGCUAGUCCUCAUCAGCCAGGAGUUGCUGCGGAAGGAGCGGUGAGGCGGCCGUGGGGCCGGCUGGGUCCUCCCUGUGGCUUUGGUCCUUGCUCCACUUCUUGACAUUAGCUCAUGUUGUCUUGGGACAGAGAGCGGGCAGAGCUGGUGGGCCAGGUGGCUGAUCUCGAGCGAUCACCCUGCUCUCCUCUAAGCUCCAAUAAAGUCUCCAAAG